UCAUUGUCCAUUGACGAGAGA
rnacentral:siRNA from 1 species